ensembl:lncRNA
GCUAACACUCCUUUUCUUGAAGUCUAUAUCUGACUGUAUUUGGCCCUCCAUCUUGUUUUAUGAUAUAUGUUUCCAUAGUUAUCUUCUUCUUUCCUUUUACUUUCAACCUAUUUUUUUAAAAAUUUUGAGAAUAACUUAAUAUGUUGACUUCAAGAUACAAGUAUAUUCUAUAUGAGAUACGACUCUGUAUGUCAAUAUUUUAACAAAAAUGGCUCCUUACAAGAUCAAAAUAACCCACAGGCCAUGAGGUUGGUUUUUCCUUUUUCCUUUUUUUUUUUUUUUGUUUAAACAAAUGUGUACCAUGAUGUUUCAACAAGCAAGACCAAUGCCAAGGCCAAUGCCAUGAGUGUGAAAGCUGCAGUUUGAAAUAGGUAUAUAUUUCAAACACAAAAUAGGUAUAUUUCUAAAUACAUUUAGAACCCAGGGGAGGGGAGUUAGAGGUGGUAGUUAUUCUAAUUAAGCAAUCAGGUAACUUCAUGACAAGUUGAUUUGCAGCAUGGAAAGUGUCCAUUUAAGUUUCUUCUUUCUUGAUGGUCAAAGGUCCCACAUUGUCUCCAGUCUCUUCAUUGUGUUUUGUGUGAGAUCCAGGACCUGCAACAACGGUAGUACACAGCUUUAUCUCCGAAAUCCUCCAUGUCAAAAGCAUGUGCUAUCUUGGAGCUGUCUUUCUGGAUGUGAAGGUUUUUGUAGAUGGGUAGAUUGCAAAACUUUUUUCCCAUUCUGUUGGUUUCCAGUUCACUCUAUUGAUAGUUUCUUUUGCUUUGCAGAAGCUCUUAAGUUUAAUUAGAUCCCAUUUGUCUAUUCUGGCUUUUGUUGCUGUUGCUUACAGUGAUUUAGUCAUGAAGUCCUUGCCUAUGCCUAUGUCCUGAAUGGUAUUGCCUAUGUUUUCUUCUAGGAUUUUUAUGGUGUUAGGUCUUAUGUUUAAAUGAUCAACAAAAUGGAUAGAUCACUAGCCAGACUAAUAGAAAAGAGAGCCAAAUUUAAUAGAUGCAAUAAAAAACGUUAAGGGGAUAUCAACACUGAUUCCACAGAAAUACAGACUACCAUUAGAGAUUACUACAAACACCUCUAUGCACAUAAACUAAAUCAAGAAGAAAUGGAUACAUUCCUGCACACUUAUACCCUCCCAAAACUAACUCAGGAAGAAGUUGAAUCCCUGGAUAGACCAUUAACAAGGUCUGAAGUUGAGGCAGCAAUUAAUAGCUUACAAACCCAAAAAAGUUCAGGUGCAGAGUUCACAGCCAAAUUCUACCACAGAUACAAAGAUAAGCUGGUACCAUUCCUUCUGAAAUGAUUCCAAACAAUACACAAAGAGGGAAUCCUCCCUAACUCAUUUUAUGAGACCAACAUCAUUCUGAUACCGAAACCUGGCAGAAACACAACUAAAAUAGAAAAUUUCAGGCCAGUAUCCAUGAUGAACAUUGAUGUGAAAAUUCUUAGUAAAAUACUGGCAAACUGAAUCCAACAGCACAUCAAAAAGCUUAUCCCUCACGAUCAAGUCGAUUUCAUCCCUGGGAUGCAAGGCUGGUUUGACGUAUGCAAAUCUAUAUGUGUAAUCUAUCACAUCAACAGAACCAAAACCAAAAACCACAUAAUUAUCUCAAUAGAUGCAGAGAAGGCCUUCAAGAAAAUUCAACAGCCCUUUAUUCUAAAAACUCUCAACAAACUAGGUAGUGAUGGAAUGUAUCUCAAAAUAAUAAAGGCUAUUUAUGGCAAAUGCACAGCCAAUGUCAUACUGAAUGGGCAAAAACUGGAAGCAUUUGAAAACUUCUGAAACCUUUGAAAACUGGCACAAGAGAAGGGUGCCCUCUCUCACCACUCCUAUUCAACAUAGUAUUUGAAGUUCUGGCUGGAGCAAUCAGACAAGAAAAAGACAUAAAGUGUAUUCAGUUAGGAAAAGAGGAAGUCAAAUUGUCUCUAUUUGUAGAUAACAUGAUUGUAUAUUUAGAGGACCCCAUCAUCUCAGCACAAAAUUUCCUUAUGCUGAUAAGCAACUUCAGCAA